GCAGUGGUGGUUCAGUGGUAGAAUUCUCACCUUCCAUGUUGGAGACCCAGGUUCGAGUCCCAGCCAGUCCA
rnacentral:tRNA from 1 species